rnacentral:rRNA from 1 species
AUUGAACGCUGGCGGCAGGCCUAACACAUGCAAGUCGAACGGUAGCACAGAGAGCUUGCUCUCGGGUGACGAGUGGCGGACGGGUGAGUAACGUCUGGGAAACUGCCCGAUGGAGGGGGAUAACUACUGGAAACGGUAGCUAAUACCGCAUAACGUCGCAAGACCAAAGUGGGGGACCUUCGGGCCUCACACCAUCGGAUGUGCCCAGAUGGGAUUAGCUAGUAGGUGGGGUAAUGGCUCACCUAGGCGACGAUCCCUAGCUGGUCUGAGAGGAUGACCAGCCACACUGGAACUGAGACACGGUCCAGACUCCUACGGGAGGCAGCAGUGGGGAAUAUUGCACAAUGGGCGCAGGCCUGAUGCAGCCAUGCCGCGUGUAUGAAGAAGGCCUUCGGGUUGUAAAGUACUUUCAGCAGGGAGGAAGGCGGUGAAGUUAAUAACUUCACCGAUUGACGUUACCCGCAGAGGUAGCACCGGCUAACUCCGUGCCAGCCGCCGCGGUAA